rnacentral:misc_RNA from 1 species
GAUGAAGAACGCAGCGAAAUGCGAUAAGUAGUGUGAAUUGCAGAAUUCAGUGAAUCAUCGAAUCUUUGAACGCACAUUGCGCCCCUUGGUAUUCCAUGGGGCAUGCCUGUUCGAGCGUCAUUUGUACCUUCAAGCUUUGCUUGGUGUUGGGUGUUUGUCUCGCCUUUGCGUGUAGACUCGCCUUAAAAUAAUUGGCAGCCGGCGUAUUGAUUUCGGAGCGCAGUACAUCUCGCGCUUUGCACUCAUAACGACAGCGUCCAAAAGUACAUUUUACACUCUUGACCUCGGAUCAGGUAGGGAUACCCGCUGAACUUAAGCAUAUCAAUAAGCGGAGGAA